rnacentral:rRNA from 1 species
AGACCCGAAACCCGGUGAUCUAGCCAUGGGCAGGUUGAAGGUUGGGUAACACUAACUGGAGGACCGAACCGACUAAUGUUGAAAAAUUAGCGGAUGACCUGUGGCUGGGGGUGAAAGGCCAAUCAAACCGGGAGAUAGCUGGUUCUCCCCGAAAGCUAUUUAGGUAGCGCCUCGUGAAUUCAUCUCCGGGGGUAGAGCACUGUUUCGGCUAGGGGGCCAUCCCGGCUUACCAACCCGAUGCAAACUGCGAAUACCGGAGAAUGUUAUCACGGGAGACACACGGCGGGUGCUAACGUCCGUCGUGAAGAGGGAAACAACCCAGACCGCCAGCUAAGGUCCCAAAGUCAUGGUUAAGUGGGAAACGAUGUGGGAAGGCCCAGACAGCCAGGAUGUUGGCUUAGAAGCAGCCAUCAUUUAAAGAAAGCGUAAUAGCUCACUGGUCGAGUCGGCCUGCGCGGAAGAUGUAACGGGGCUAAACCAUGCACCGAAGCUGCGGCAGCGACGUUUAUGCGUUGUUGGGUAGGGGAGCGUUCUGUAAGCCUGCGAAGGUGGCCUGUGAGGGUUGCUGGAGGUAUCAGAAGUGCGAAUGCUGACAUAAGUAACGAUAAAGCGGGUGAAAAGCCCGCUCGCCGGAAGACCAAGGGUUCCUGUCCAACGUUAAUCGGGGCAGG